UCGGGGGACGUGGGCGGUUUCCCUCCCGGGGACGUUCCCGAGAAAGUUCCACUGAACCCUUUUCAUUUAGAGGAAGGAGGAAGUUGUUAACAAAGGUUUUCCGUAGGUGGAACCUGCCGGAAGGAUCAUUG
rnacentral:rRNA from 1 species